UGGGCAACCUGCCCCAGACUCAGGGAUAACCCCGGGAAACCGGGGCUAAUACCCGAUACUCCGAUCGAACCACAUGGCUCGAUCGGGAAAGCUCCGACGGUCUGGGAUGGGCCCGCGGCCUAUCAGCUUGUUGGUGAGGUAAUGGCUCACCAAGGCUUCGACGGGUAGCCGGCCUGAGAGGGCGACCGGCCACACUGGAACUGAGAUACGGCCCAGACUCCUACGGGAG
rnacentral:rRNA from 1 species